AGCGAAGCGGGAAGAGCCCAAAAUGAAAAGCCAGCUUGCUGGCAUUGUAGUUGAGCGACCUUGGGGUGUCAGUCUGGGUAAGUCGCAUGGAAAUGCGUGCCGUGGAGGGUGAGAGCCCCGUCCAUCCCAUUCAGGACACUCCGCACAAGGGCGUUUCAGACGAGUCGGGUAGCUUGGGAAUGCUGCUCUAAUUGGUGGUAAAUCUCAUCAAAGGCUAAAUAACGGUGGGAGACCGAUAGCGAACAAGUACCGUGAGGGAAAGAUGACAAGCACUUUGAAAAGAGGGUGAAAAGAGCCUGAAACCGUUACGGGGGAAGCGGAUUGCGUUGGCCUGGUGGCCGCCUGUGUGUUCAGCCUUUUGGGUGCAUUGAUGCAGGUGGUUAUCCGUCGUGGCUUCUCGGGGGUCGAAUUUGGGCCGCUGGGGGGUGAGGGCUCCCCUUUAAUUUGGGUGAGGACGACGGAGUGACGACGCGAUACGACCCGUCUUGAAACACGGACCAAGGAGUCUAGCGCGGGUGCGAGUCGGAGGGUGUGAAAACCCGUGGGCGAAGUGAAAGCGAGUUUUAAAAACGAGCAGUUUGGGGCGGCAUAGAAUCGUUGAUUCUAGGUCCGACCUUGAGCAGUUGCGCUGGGACCCGAAAGAUGGUGAACUAUGCCGGAGUAGGGCAAAGCCAGAAGAAAUUCUGGUGGAGGCUCGUAGCGGUGCUGACGUGCAAAUCGCUCGUCGAACUUGGGUAUAGGGGCGAAAGACUAAUCGAACCAUCUAGUAGCUGGUUCCCUCCGAAGUUUCUCUCAGGAUAGCAGGCCGACAAGUUGUUUUGUGCGGUAAAGCGAAUGAUUAGCGUACUCGGGGACGUUUAGUCUUUGGACGAUUCUCAAACUUUCAAUGCGCAAGGGUACCGGUGCUUUGUUGAGCGGUACCGAUAAAAACGUCGGCCUUGUGGGCCACUUUUGUCCGCCAAGGAGUGUGUAACAACUCACCUGCCGAAUGAAUUAGCCCUGAAAAUGGAUGGCGCUUAAGCGGGCGACCGACACCAUGCCGUCUGUGAAAUGUAUUUCAGAUGAGUAGGAGGGCGUGGCGGCCGUGUCGAAGCGUGCUUGCAGAGGCAUGUGGAACGGCCGCUAGUGCAGAUCUUGGUGGUAGUAGCAAAUAUUCAAGCGAGAUCCUUGAAGGGCGAAGCGGGGAAGGGUUCCACGCGAACAUUGAUUGGGCGUGGGUGAGUCGUUCCUAAGCCGAGUGGCGAUUGCUAAGUAGCGGCGAAAGGGAAGCGGGUUGACAUUCCCGCACACGGAUGUGGAGGCGGUGACGCUUUAUUGGGGCGAACACGCUGGCGGUGGCGCUGGGCAGAGUUGUCUUUUCUGUUUGACCGCUGAUGCACGCGGUGUGGAAUCCGCUUGUCGGGAGAAACACGCGUGUACGGGCAGAGCGCCGGGGCUUUUCCGGCGUCCAGCUCGCCACCGACGGCCCUUGAAACUUUGCCUGCUGGUAUUUUUAAUAAAGAUCCACGCCGUGGCGUACCGAUCACCGCAUCAGGUCCCCAAGGUGAACAGCCUCUGCUCGAUAUGAACAAUGCAGGUAAGGGAAGUCGGCAAAUUGGACCCGUAACUUUGGGAAAAGGGUUGGCUCUAGUGCUGCGUGGGAGUGGUUGUCGAGUGUUGGUGUGUCUAGGCUUGCUGGAAUGAGCGCGGGCCCUUCGGGGACUGUGUUUAUCUGGCGGGCCCGGGCGCGCCACGCUCGACGACGCCCACAGCAUGCAGCAGACUAGAACUGCAACGGGCAAAGGGAAUCCGACUGUUUAAUUAAAACAAAGCAUUGCGAGGGCCGUGGCCGGUGAUGACGCAAUGUGAUUUCUGCUCAGUGCUCUGAAUGUCAAAGUGAAGAGAUUCAAUCAAGCGCGGGUAAACAGCGGGAGUAACUAUGACUCUCUUAAGGUAGCCAAAUGCCUCGUCAUCUAAUUAGUGACGCGCAUGAAUGGAUUAACGAGAUUCCUACUGUCCCUAUCUGCUUCUAGCGAAACCACAGCCGAGGGAACGGGCUCGGCGAAAUCGGCGGGGAAAGAAGACCCUGUUGAGCUUGACUCUAUUCUAAUUUUGUGAAGCAAGCUGGGAGGUGUAGCAUAGGUGGGAGACUUUGGUCGUCCGUGAAAUACCACUACUCCCAGUCUUGCUUUACUUACUGGGUGGGUGUGGAUGAGUCUUACGACUCUUUUCUGGAACCAACCUGAUUUAAUUUGGGGACCACAGCUCAGUACACAUUUAGGAGGGGAGUUUGGCUGGGGCGGUACAUCUUCUACAAGACAACGAAGGUGUCCAAAGAUAAGCUCAGUGAGAACAGAAAUCUCACGUAGCGCAAAAGGGUAAAAGCUUGUUUGAUUUUGAUUUUCAGUGCGAGUCAAAAACGCGAAAGCGUGGCCUAUCGAUCCUUUCACGAUUCGAGAUUUGAAGCGAGAGGUGUCAGAAAAGUUACCACAGGGAUAACUGGCUUGUGGCGGCCAAGCGUUCAUAGCGA
rnacentral:rRNA from 1 species